rnacentral:rRNA from 1 species
AUUGAACGCUGGCGGCAGGCCUAACACAUGCAAGUCGAGCGGAUGAAGGGAGCUUGCUCCUGGAUUCAGCGGCGGACGGGUGAGUAAUGCCUAGGAAUCUGCCUGGUAGUGGGGGAUAACGUCCGGAAACGGGCGCUAGUACCGCAUACGUCCUGAGGGAGAAAGUGGGGGAUCUUCGGACCUCACGCUAUCAGAUGAGCCUAGGUCGGAUUAGCUAGUUGGUGGGGUAAAGGCCUACCAAGGCGACGAUCCGUAACUGGUCUGAGAGGAUGAUCAGUCACACUGGAACUGAGACACGGUCCAGACUCCUACGGGAGGCAGCAGUGGGGAAUAUUGGACAAUGGGCGAAAGCCUGAUCCAGCCAUGCCGCGUGUGUGAAGAGGGUCUUCGGAUUGUAAAGCACUUUAAGUUGGGAGGAAGGGCAGUAAGUUAAUACCUUGCUGUUUUGACGUUACCAACAGAAUAAGCACCGGCUAACUUCGUG